GACGAACGCUGGCGGCGUGCUUAACACAUGCAAGUCGAACGGAAGGGCCCUGCUUUUGUGGGGUGCUCGAGUGGCGCGCGGGUGAGUAACCCGUGAGUCACCUUCCCUUGACUUUGGGAUAACUUCAGGAAACUGGGGCUAAUACCUGCUAGGAGCGCCUGCUGCAUGGUGGGGGUUGGAAAUUUUCGGCGGUUGGGGAUGUACGCGCGGCUUAUCAGCUUGUUGGUGGGGUAGUGGCUUACCAAGGCGUGGACGGGUAGCCGGACUGGGAGUGUGACCCGGCACAGAGGCACAGGGGUACGACCCAUACGCCUACGUGAGGCAGGAGUGAGGAAUAGUGCACAAUGGGCGGAAUGCGGAUGGAGCAUCUUCGCGUGCGGGAGGACGGUCAGCGGGUAGGAAGCCGCUUUCGCUUGUGACGAAGCGUGAGUGAGGGUAAUGGGUAAAGAAGCACCGCCUACCUACGG
rnacentral:rRNA from 1 species